rfam:Trachymyrmex zeteki contig14255, whole genome shotgun sequence.
CGUUGUAGGCGGUGGUGAUCCGCGGAGUGGUUUUAGUCGGUAGGCGCCUGGCGGAGUUGUGGGCUAGCCCUCCUCCAAUAGGUGAUCUGACACUACCCGGUGGGUCGCUCCCCCGGGUGUCUUUUGAAGAUUUCCACUUCGACAAC